rnacentral:rRNA from 1 species
UGGGGAAUAUUGCGCAAUGGGCGAAAGCCUGACGCAGCAACGCCGCGUGAGUGAUGAAGGCCUUAGGGUUGUAAAACUCUUUCGCCGGGGAAGAUAAUGACGGUACCCGGAGAAGAAGCUCCGGCUAACUUCGUGCCAGCAGCCGCGGUAAUACGAAGGGAGCUAGCGUUGUUCGGAAUUACUGGGCGUAAAGCGCACGUAGGCGGACUUGUCAGUCAGGGGUGAAAUCCCAAGGCUCAACCUUGGAACUGCCUCCGAUACAGCAAGCCUAGAGAUCGGGAGAGGUGAGUGGAAUUCCUAGUGUAGAGGUGAAAUUCGUAGAUAUUAGGAAGAACACCAGUGGCGAAGGCGGCUCACUGGCCCGAUACUGACGCUGAGGUGCGAAAGCGUGGGGAGCAAACAGGAUUAGAUACCCAGGUAGUCCCUGAGCGGGCUGGCAAGGCGCAU